UGUGUGUGUGUGUGUGCUUG
rnacentral:miRNA from 1 species